rnacentral:rRNA from 1 species
GAUGAACGCUGGCGGCGUGCCUAAUACAUGCAAGUCGAGCGAAUGACGAGGAGCUUGCUCCUCUGAUUUAGCGGCGGACGGGUGAGUAACACGUGGGUAACCUGCCUGUAAGACGGGGAUAACUCCGGGAAACCGGAGCUAAUACCGGAUGAUAACGAGAAGCGCCUGCUUCUUUUUUGAAAGUCGGUUUCGGCUGACGCUUACAGAUGGGCCCGCGGCGCAUUAGCUAGUUGGUGAGGUAACGGCUCACCAAGGCGACGAUGCGUAGCCGACCUGAGAGGGUGAUCGGCCACACUGGGACUGAGACACGGCCCAGACUCCUACGGGAGGCAGCAGUAGGGAAUCUUCGGCAAUGGACGAAAGUCUGACCGAGCAACGCCGCGUGAGCGAUGAAGGCCUUCGGGUCGUAAAGCUCUGUUGUCAGAGAAGAACAAGUACCGGAGUAACUGCCGGUACCUUGACGGUACCUGACCAGAAAGCCACGGCUAACUACGUGCCAGCAGCCGCCGCGGUAA